AAUCCCGUCUUUGACACNGACUGCCGGUGCUUUGUGAUGCGCUCUCGAAGAGUCGAGUUGUUUGGGAAUGCAGCUCAAAACGGGUGGUAAAUUCCAUCUAAAGCUAAAUAUUGGCGAAAGACCGAUAGCGAACAAGUACCGUGAGGGAAAGAUGAAAAGCACUUUGGAAAGAGAGUUAAACAGYACGUGAAAUUGUUGAAAGGGAAACGUUUGAAGUCAGUCGCGUCUCUCGGGACUCAGCCUUGCCCUUUCGCUUGGUGUACUUCCUGGGAUGACGGGCCAGCAUCGAUUUUGACCGUCGGAGAAGGGCCUUGGGAAUGUGGCACCUUCGGGUGUGUUAUAGCCCUUGGUCGCAUGCGACGGUUGGGAUCGAGGACCGCAGCACGCCGUUUAUCGGCCGGGGUUCGCCCACGUACCGUGCUUAGGAUGCUGGCGUAAUGGCUUUAAGCGACCCGUCUUGAAACACGGACCAAGRAGUCUAACAUGCCUGCGAGUGUUUGGGUGUAAAACCCAGACGCGGAAUGAAAGUGAACAGUUGGGACCUCUGUCGUGGAGGGCACCGACGCCCGGACCAGACCUUUUGUGACGGUUCCGAGGUAGAGCAUGUAUGUUGGGACCCGAAAGAUGGUGAACUAUGCCUGAGUAGGGUGAAGCCAGAGGAAACUCUGGUGGAGGCUCGUAGCGAUUCUGACGUGCAAAUCGAUCGUCGAACUUGGGUAUAGGGGCGAAAGACUAAUCGAACCAUCUAGUAGCUGGUU
rnacentral:rRNA from 1 species